AUUGGGUCAUCAGUGCCAAACUUUAACAUAAUAACAUGGUCAAAGCACAACUCAAUAAAGAUCACAACAUCGCGAAUAUACUGGCGAAUCCAUAAUAUAGAUAAGGUUUGGAUUUGUUGCAUAUAUAUAGAUAGCAGACCGAUGGUACACACAAAGCACAGCAAGGCAUAGUAAAUUCUCAUAUCAGUUGGAUUCCAGAGCAGCUUCACCCUUGGCAUUGUUGUUGCAAACCUCUUCGUCAUCGUUAAGAGUGUAAUGCUUCAGAAGUGGAUUCAGAGGCAAAAACUCCUCGCGCCAGAACUUCCUGUGUUGCUCCCUCAACCCCUCAAUAAAGGCUUUACGCUCAGCUUCUGAGAGUGGUUCGUCAUCGCUGGAACCGUCAUCAGAGUCUGCUUCUGCUACUUUGACAGCCUGCUCUUUGGUCUCAUCAAUGGUUGACUCGGCAAGAACAAUAUCUUCCUCGUCGUGCCCGUCAGCCGGCACCUUCCUUUUGGUGGAGCAGACCUUCAGCGGACACUCCUGCUCCCCGGUGGCGUCCUCCAUGCUCUUUGUUGCGCGCUGCUUGAAGUGAAACUCCUCGCCGGCAAACGCCGCCGCCGCCACCGUACUUGCGGUGGUGCACGACUUCAGCGANN
rnacentral:lncRNA from 1 species